rnacentral:rRNA from 1 species
GGGGAAUAUUGGACAAUGGGUGCAAGCCUGAUCCAGCCAUGCCGCGUGAGUGAUGAAGGCCUUAGGGUUGUAAAGCUCUUUUAGCAGGGAAGAUAAUGACUGUACCUGCGGAAUAAGCUCCGGCUAACUUCGUGCCAGCAGCCGCGGUAAUACGAAGGGAGCUAGCGUUGUUCGGAAUCACUGGGCGUAAAGCGCACGUAGGCGGAUUUGUUAGUGAGGGGUGAAAUCCCGGGGCUCAACCUCGGAACUGCCUUUCAUACUGCAGAUCUCGAGUCCGAUAGAGGUGGGUGGAAUUCCUAGUGUAGAGGUGAAAUUCGUAGAUAUUAGGAAGAACACCGGUGGCGAAGGCGGCCCACUGGAUCGGUACUGACGCUGAGGUGCGAAAGCGUGGGGAGCAAAC